GGGUUGCGGACAGUGUCUGGUGGGUAGUUUGACUGGGGCGGUCUCCUCCCAAAGAGUAACGGAGGAGCACGAAGGUUAGCUAAUCCUGGUCGGACAUCAGGAGGUUAGUGCAAUGGCAUAAGCUAGCUUGACUGCGAGCGUGACGGCGCGAGCAGGUGCGAAAGCAGGUCAUAGUGAUCCGGUGGUUCUGAAUGGAAGGGCCAUCGCUCAACGGAUAAAAGGUACUCCGGGGAUAACAGGCUGAUACCGCCCAAGAGUUCAUAUCGACGGCGGUGUUUGGCACCUCGAUGUCGGCUCAUCACAUCCUGGGGCUGAAGUAGGUCCCAAGGGUAUGGCUGUUCGCCAUUUAAAGUGGUACGCGAGCUGGGUUUAGAACGUCGUGAGACAGUUCGGUCCCUAUCUGCCGUGGGCGCUGGAGAAUUGAGGGGGGCUGCUCCUAGUACGAGAGGACCGGAGUGGACGCAUCACUGGUGUUCGGGUUGUCAUGCCAAUGGCACUGCCCGGUAGCUAAAUGCGGAAGAGAUAAGUGCUGAAAGCAUCUAAGCACGAAACUUGCCCCGAGAUGAGUUCUCCCUGAGACUAUAAGUCUCCUGAAGGAACGUUGAAGACGACGACGUUGAUAGGCCGGGUGUGUAAGCGCAGCGAUGCGUUGAGCUAACCGGUACUAAUGAACCGUGAGGCUUAACCUUACAACGCCGAAG
rnacentral:rRNA from 1 species